rnacentral:rRNA from 1 species
CACGUAGGGGGCGAGCGUUGUCCGGAUUUAUUGGGCGUAAAGAGCUCGUAGGCGGUUCGAUAAGUCGGGUGUGAAAACUCUGGGCUCAACUCAGAGACGCCACCCGAUACUGUUGUGACUUGAGUCCGGUAGGGGAGUAUGGAAUUCCCGGUGUAGCGGUGAAAUGCGCAGAUAUCAGGAAGAACACCCGUGGCGAAGGCGGCUCUCUGGGACGGUACUGACGCUGAGACGCGAAAGCGUGGGGAGCGAACAGG